GGCGGAGUUACAGCACACCCUAAGCGUAGUAAAACUACCUCGCUUUCAGGGAGCCUGUAGCGGCCUGCCGUUAAAAAACCCCCUAUAAUUCUAGUGUUUGACCUCGGA
rnacentral:rRNA from 1 species